rnacentral:lncRNA from 1 species
CCACUGAAUCGUUGCAGUCUUCAACUCCUCAGAGUAAUACUGCUGCAGCAUCGAGUUUUAAAUUAGAAGACUUUGAGUCUCUGGAAACCUCGGCCACCUCACUAGUGGGAGAUAUAGGGAGGCCGGGGUUGAACUUUGUUUAGAGGACAAUGCCUCGGAAGAGUUUGUCAUAGGCUCCAGAAGGGAUGACGGAAAGGUGUAUGCAGGCUGUGGCUCCUGGAUAAAUGAAAAAGCCUGGGGAUGUUUGUUCAGC